rnacentral:lncRNA from 13 species
GAAUUUUUUAUUCUUCCUGGAGAUGUAGGUAUUUGACUGCACAGAAGGGUCGGGAAUGAACUCCAAGUCAGAUCCCGGCUUCCUGCAGGAAGAUCAUGUAUAGAGAGCUGAAACUGCAAUGCGGAAAAAGCUGUUGAUUUCCUGCACAUGAUUAACCUAGAUGGAUAUAGUAAUUCUGUGAUGAAAGUUUAAAUAAAAACAGCAAAUUGAAAAAAAUAGGUCUAUAAAACUAUUUGAGUAUGGCUCCUGGCACCUGGAUACGACAAGAAAUAGCUUUGAAGGGC